rnacentral:misc_RNA from 1 species
GAUGAAGAACGCAGCGAAAUGCGAUAAGUAAUGUGAAUUGCAGAAUUCAGUGAAUCAUCGAAUCUUUGAACGCACCUUGCGCCCUUUGGCUAUUCUGAAGGGCAUGCCUGUUUGAGUAUCGUGAACACCUCAACUCUCAUGGUCUGCCAUGAUGAGCUUGGACUUUGGGGGUCUUGCUGGCCUACUGUCAGCUCCUCUCAAAUGAAUCAGCUUACCAGUGUUUGGUGGCACCACAGGUGUGAUAACUAUCUACGCUUGUGGUUUUCUGCCAGGUAACCUCCAGUGAUGGAGGUUCGCUGGAGCUCACAAAUGUCUCUCCACAGCGAGGACAGCUUUUUGAACGUUUGAUCUCAAAUCAGGUAGGACUACCCGCUGAACUUAAGCAUAUCAAUAAGCGGAGGA